rnacentral:rRNA from 1 species
GACGAACGCUGGCGGCGUGCUUAACACAAGCAAGUCGAACGGAAAGGCCCUGCUUUUGUGGGGUGCUCGAGUGGCGAACGGGUGAGUAACACGUGAGUAACCUGCCCUUGACUUUGGGAUAACUUCAGGAAACUGGGGCUAAUACCAGAUAGGAGCUCCUGCUGCAUGGUGGGGGUUGGAAGGUUUCGGCGGUUGGGGAUGGACUCGCGGCUUAUCAGCUUGUUGGUGGGGUAGUGGCUUACCAAGGCUUUGACGGGUAGCCGGCCUGAGAGGGUGACCGGCCACAUUGGGACUGAGAUACGGCCCAGACUCCUACGGGAGGCAGCAGUGGGGAAUAUUGCACAAUGGGCGGAAGCCUGAUGCAGCAACGCCGCGUGCGGGAUGACGGCCUUCGGGUUGUAAACCGCUUUCGCCUGUGACGAAGCGUGAGUGACGGUAAUGGGUAAAGAAGCACCGGCUAACUACGUG